rnacentral:rRNA from 1 species
GAGUUUGAUCCUGGCUCAGAUUGAACGUUGGCGGCAGGUCUCAUACAUGCAAGUCGAACGAGAAAGGUCCUUCGGGGCCGAGUAAAGUGGCGGACGGGUGAGUAACGCGUAGGAAUCUACCUAGUAGUGGGGGACAACCCGAGGAAACUCGGGCUAAUACCGCAUACGACCUAGGGGUGAAAGCGGGGGAUUUUCGAACCUCGCGCUAUUAGAGGAGCCUGCGUUGGAUUAACUUGUUGGUGGGGUAAUGGCCUACCAAGGCGACGAUCCAUAGCUGGUCUGAGAGGAUGAUCAGCCACACUGGAACUGAGACACGGUCCAGACUCCUACGGGAGGCAGCAGUAAAGAAUAUUGCGCAAUGGGCGAAAGCCUGACGCAGCCAUGCCGCGUGUGUGAAGAAGGCCUUAGGGUUGUAAAGCACUUUCAGUGGCGAAGAAAAGUGAGGGGUUAAUACCUCCGCUCUUUGACGUUAACCACAGAAGAAGGUCCGGCUAACUCCGUGCCAGCAGCCGCGGUAAUACAGGGGGACCGAACGUUAAUCGGAAUUACUGGGCGUAAAGCGCACGUAGGCGGUUCGUUAAGUGGGAUGUGAAAGCCCUAGGCUCAACCUAGGAAUUGCAUCUCAAACUGACGGACUAGAGUGUAGUAAAAGGGGAGGUGGUAAACGAUGAGAACUAGCCGUUGGGCCCCAUUGGGGCUUGGUGGCGCAGCUAACGCGUUAAGUUCUCCGCCUGGGGAGUACGGCCGCAAGGCUAAAACUCAAAUGAAUUGACGGGGGCCCGCACAAGCGGUGGAGCAUGUUCUUUAAUUCGAUGCAACGCGAAGAACCUUACCACCCCUUGACAUCCACGGAACUUUCUAGAGAUAGAUUGGUGCCUUCGGGAACCGUGUGACAGGUGCUGCAUGGCUGUCGUCAGCUCGUGUCGUGAGAUGUUGGGUUAAGUCCCGUAACGAGCGCAACCCCUAUCCUUAUUUGCCAGCGGAUUAUGCCGGGAACUCUAAGGAGACUGCCGGUGACAAACCGGAGGAAGGCGGGGACGAGGUCAAGUCAUCAUGGCCCUUAUGGGGUGGGCUAGAAACGUGCUACAAUGGGAAGUACAGAGGGCUGCAAACCCGCGAGGGUUAGCGAAUCCCACAAAGCUUCUCGUAGUCCGGAUAGGAGUCUGCAACUCGACUCCUUGAAGUUGGAAUCGCUAGUAAUCGCGAAUCAGAAUGUCGCGGUGAAUACGUUCCCGGGCCUUGUACACACCGCCCGUCACAUCAUGGAAGUGGGUUGCACCAGAAGUAGCUAGUCUAACCUUCGGGAGGGCGGCUACCACGGUGUGGUUCAUGACUAGGAUGAAGUCGUAACAAGGUAGCCGUAGGGGAACCUGCGGCUGGAUCACCUCCUUUCU